UACGAGUGCCUCAAGCGUUAUCCGGAAUCAUUGGGCGUAAAGGUUGUGUAGGUGGUUGUAUUAGUCUUCUGUUAAAUUCUUCGGCUUAACCGGGGGCAUGCAGGGGAAACGGUACGACUAGAGGAUGCGAGGGGUCUGUGGAAUUCAUAGUGUAGCGGUAAAAUGCGUUGAUAUUAUGGAGAACACCAAAAGCGAAGGCAGCAGACUGGAGCACUCCUGACACUGAAACAAGAAAGCGUGGGUAGCGAAUGGG
rnacentral:rRNA from 1 species